UACGUAGGUGGCAAGCGUUGUCCGGAUUUAUUGGGUUUAAAGGGUGCGUAGGCGGUGACUUAAGUCAGUGGUGAAAUACUUCAGCUUAACUGGAGAGGUGCCAUUGAUACUGGGACACUUGAGUACUGAUGAGGUAGGCGGAAUGGACGGUGUAGCGGUGAAAUGCUUAGAUAUCGUCCAGAACACCGAUAGCGAAGGCAGCUUACUAAGGAGUAACUGACGCUGAGGCACGAAAGUGUGGGGAUCAAACAGG
rnacentral:rRNA from 1 species